rnacentral:rRNA from 1 species
ACGCCUUAUACAUGCAAGUCGAACGAAGUAGCAAUACUUAGUGGCAGACGGGUGAGUAACAUGUGGGUAUCUUCCCUUUGGUGAGGAAUAACACGAGGAAACUUGUGCUAAUACCUCAUAAGUCUUUACGGAGAAAGCUUUAUGCGCCAUUGGAUGAGCCUGCACUUGAUUAGUUAGUUGGUGGGGUAAAGGCCUACCAAGACUUUGAUCAAUAGCUGAUUUGAGAGGAUGAUCAGCCACAUUGGGACUGAGACACGGCCCAAACUCCUACGGGAGGCAGCAGUAAGGAAUCUUGCACAAUGGAGGAAACUCUGAUGCAGCGAUGCCGCGUGAGUGAAGAAGGCCUUUGGGUUGUAAAGCUCUUUCGUCGGGGAAGAAAAUGACUGUACCCGAAUAAGAAGGUCCGGCUAACUUCGUGCCAGCAGCCGCGGUAAUACGAAGGGACCUAGCGUAGUUCGGAAUUACUGGGCUUAAAGAGUUCGUAGGUGGUUAAAAAAGUUGGUGGUGAAAUCCCAGAGCUUAACUCUGGAACUGCCAUCAAAACUUUUUAGCUAGAGUUUGAUAGAGGAAAGCAGAAUUUCUAGUGUAGAGGUGAAAUUCGUAGAUAUUAGAAAGAAUACCAAUUGCGAAGGCAGCUUUCUGGAUCAUUACUGACACUGAGGAACGAAAGCAUGGGUAGCGAAGAGGAUUAGAUACCCUCGUAGUCCAUGCCGUAAACGAUGUGUGUUAGACGUUGGAAAUUUAUUUUCAGUGUCGCAGCGAAAGCGAUAAACACACCGCCUGGGGAGUACGACC